rnacentral:rRNA from 1 species
GACGAACGCUGGCGGCGUGCCUAAUACAUGCAAGUCGAACGCAGUUGCGAACGGGUGAGUAACGCGUAGGUCACUGCCUGGUAGCGGGGGAUAACUAUUGGAAACGAUAGCUAAUACCGCCUACUACCAGAUGGACCUGCGUUGUAUUAGCUAGUUGGGGGGGUAACGGCUCACCAAGGCAACGAUACAGAGCCGACCUGCGAGGGUGAUCGGGCACACGGGGACUGAGGCACGGCCCAGACGCCUACGGGAGGCAGCAGGAGGGAAUCAUCGGCAAUGGACGGAAGUCUGACCGAGCAAAGCCGGGGGAGGGAAGAAGGUUUUCGGAUCGUAAAGCUCUGUUGUAAGAGAAGCGGUAUCUUACCAGAAAGGGACGGCUAACUACGUGCCAGCAGCCGCGGUAAUAC